rnacentral:rRNA from 1 species
UGGGGAAUAUUGCACAAUGGGCGAAAGCCUGAUGCAGCAACGCCGCGUGAGUGAUGAAGGCCUUCGGGUUGUAAAGCUCUGUCUUCUGGGACGAUAAUGACGAUACCAGAGGAGGAAGCCACGGCUAACUACGUGCCAGCAGCCGCGGUAAUACGUAGGUGGCAAGCGUUGUCCGGAUUUACUGGGCGUAAAGGAUGCGUAGGCGGAUACUUAAGUCAGAUGUGAAAAUCCCGGGCUUAACUUGGGAACUGCAUUUGAAACUGGGUAUCUAGAGUGCGGGAGAGGAAAGUGGAAUUCCUAGUGUAGCGGUGAAAUGCGUAGAGAUUAGGAAGAACACCAGUGGCGAAGGCGACUUUCUGGACCGUAACUGACGCUGAGGCAUGAAAGCGUGGGGAGCAAACA